rnacentral:lncRNA from 1 species
GCUUAAGGAAUUAUGGAUGCUACGCAAUUUCGCUUUAAAAAUAUCUAAGAUAGGCAUAGAUCAGAUUUGUUAAUUAGUAGAGGUCUAGUCUUCUUGCAUCAGCCAAAAAAUAAUAUAUAAAAAAAACAGUCUAUUGCGUAGUGCUAGCUAGCCAUUUGGUGCGCUACCAAAUUCCUAGCCAAGAAAUAAAAUGAAAUGAAUGUCAACCAAAUGGGUCGCCCUUGAAACAGAAUUAUGUGAUACUUUGCAGAUGGUUUGGCAUGACUCAUCCUUUCAUGCAUGAUCCAGGCAUUAGUGCUAGCCAGCCGCCAUGAGUCAUACACUUUGCUAACGCCCGAAGGAAAUGUUGAAAUAUAUAUUGGUCUUAUAUACCCUCUCUUUUUUUUCUUUUCUCAAAUAAUUUUGUAUCUAGUGCAUGAUUACCUAGAAACCUCAUUUAUCUUUCUAGUGAAUUCUCAAAGAUGUCUCUGUAAUAUUUCCCAAUGAUCAUAUAGCUAGAUAAAGUUUAUUUCGGGAGUUUUUCCAGCUAUAGUCAUAGCCUGUGAGAGUGUGUGUGUGUGUGUGUGUAUUAUGUGAUCAACAUGUUUUGAUUAGCUUUCUGCUUGCAGGAAAGAACAUGGAAACCUCAAUUAAGUAAUCAACGUCUUUCCUGGACUUCAACAGCAAAAGAAACUUCAUUUGCAAGGAAUAAGAAAAUCUGCGACACUGGGUUUUUUUAUUAUUAUUUGUCAUUGAUACUGAUCAUGAAUAGGAUGGAGAGGCUAAUUGGUGCUGUAUAUUUUACAGCGAGAGGG